CCUGCUUUCACAGAAUUAUUCCAGGGUUUAUGUGUCAGGGUGGUGACUUCACACGCCAUAAUGGCACUGGUGGCAAGUCCAUCUAUGGGGAGAAAUUUGAAGAUGAGAACUUCAUCCUAAAGCAUACAGGUCCUGGCAUCUUGUCCAUGGCAAAUGCUGGACCCAACACAAAUGGUUCCCAGUUUUUCAUCUGCACUGCCAAGACUGAGUGGUUGGAUGGCAAGCAUGUGGUCUUUGGCAAAGUGAAAGAAGGCAUGAAUAUUGUGGAGGCCAUGGAGCGCUUUGGGUCCAGGAAUGGCAAGACCAGCAAGAAGAUCACCAUUGCUGACUGUGGACAACUCGAAUAAGUUUGACUUGUGUUUUAUCUUAACCACCAGACCAUUCCUUCUGUAGCUCAGGAGAGCACCCCUCCACCCCAUUUGCUCGCAGUAUCCUGGAAUCUUUGUGCUCUUGCUGCAGUUCCCUUUGGGUUCCAUGUUUUCCUUGUUCUCUCCCAUGCCUAGCUAGAUUGCAGAGUUAAGUUUAUGAUUAUGAAAUAAAAACUAAA